UUUAUGUCUGAUGCAAUGCUCGACAAGGUUAAUACCCGCAUUUUGAUGUAUGAACACAGUCGGGUAUUAACCUUGUCGAGUAUUGCAUCAGACAUA
rnacentral:pre_miRNA from 1 species